rnacentral:antisense_RNA from 1 species
UGUGGGAGCUGGCUUGCCUGCGCUGCAGGCGCCUCGGUGUUUCUGUCAAACCGAGUCGAUGCAUUCGCAGGCAAGCCAGCUCCCACA